GUCGGACCCGCACCGCGGGUGGCUUCUCCGGGCGCCCAUCCCCCGGUCACCU
rnacentral:ncRNA from 1 species